UAGAAUGCCUCACUGCUUUAUUUAAAGAAGAAUCAGUGUUAUUUCUUAUGUGCUAUACAAGUAGUUGAAAGUGAACUAGCAGUAUAACUGUAUAGUAAUGCUGCCAAUCUCCUUCAGACAAAU